UACGGGGGGGGGCAAGCGUUGUUCGGAAUUACUGGGCGUAAAGGGCUCGUAGGUGGCCAACUAAGUCAGACGUGAAAUCCCUCGGCUUAACCGGGGAACUGCGUCUGAUACUGGAUGGCUUGAGUGUAGGAGAGGGAUGCGGAAUUCCAGGUGUAGCGGUGAAAUGCGUAGAUAUCUGGAGGAACACCGGUGGCGAAGGCGGCAUCCUGGACUACUACUGACGCUGAGGCGCGAAAGCUAGGGGAGCAAACAGGG
rnacentral:rRNA from 1 species